CAUAUUUUACACGUCUCCACUCUUUUGGUCAUUAACAUUACAACCCUUCUUCCCUUUACUUGUUCAAAGACUCGAGCUUUUAAUUAUUCACCUGAGAGGAUCAAUUUGCUUUGAUCUGGGUGACAUCAAGAUUUGAUUUUUUUUUCAUGUAAAUUUGCAGUUUUGGGGGGUUUAGCUGAUCUGGGUCAUCUUUAUUUUUCUCCAUCCGAGGGAGGAAAUGAAGAUGAAAGUAGGGUUUUUAGUGUGUAUAUGUUUUGUGCUGUGUGGUUGUUGUAUGGGUAGAUUCGUGGUGGAGAAGAACAGCUUGAGAGUAACAUCUCCAGACUCAAUCAAAGAGGUGUAUGAGUGUGCAAUUGGCAACUUUGGGGUCCCACAGUAUGGAGGAACCAUGACAGAUUGCUAUUUCACACUGAAGGCUUGGAAUGCUCAGCAAGCUGGAGCAGGCGCUAUUCUUGUUGCUGAUGACCGUAUUGAACCUUUAAUUACCAUGGACACUCCCGAGGAAGAGGACGCAAAGGCAGAUUAUUUGCAAGAUAUAACUAUUCCAUCAGCUUUAAUUAGCAAAUCUCUUGGGGAUAGCAUCAAGAAGGAACCAUCUAGAGGAGAAAUGGUUAACAUAAACCUCGAUUGGAGAGAGGCUCUUCCACAUCCCGAUGAGCGAGUGGAGUAUGAAUUUUGGACCAAUAGUAAUGAUGAGUGUGGCCCCAAGUGUGAAAGCCAGAGAGAGUUUGUCAAAAACUUCAAGGGGGCUGCCCAGAUACUUGAGCAGAAAGGCUAUACACAGUUUACUCCCCAUUACAUAACUUGGUAUUGCCCGGAGGCUUUUAUUUUGAGCAAGCAAUGCAAGUCUCAGUGCAUCAACCAUGGCAGAUACUGUGCUCCAGACCCUGAGCAAGACUUUAGUAAAGGUUAUGAUGGAAAGGAUGUUGUUUUGCAAAAUUUACGUCAAGCUUGUUUUUAUAAGGUUGCCAAUGAAAGUGGAAAACCCUGGUUGUGGUGGGAUUAUGUCACUGACUUUGCAAUACGAUGUCCAAUGAAAGAGAAGAAAUACACAAAAGAAUGUGCUGAUCAAGUAAUCAAGUCACUUGGCUUUGACGUCAAACAGAUUGAAAAAUGUGUUGGUGAUCCUGAAGCAGAUACUGACAACCCUGUUCUAAAGGCUGAACAGGACACCCAGGGUGCUCGUGGGGAUGUGACUAUCUUGCCAACUCUCGUUAUAAACAAUAGACAGUACAGAGGUAAGCUGGCCAAGGGAGCAGUCCUCAAGGCAAUUUGUUCAGGUUUUGAGCAGACAACAGAGCCGGCAAUUUGUUUAACUGAAGAAAUAGAAUCAAAUGAAUGCUUAGAAUCAAAUGGUGGGUGCUGGCAGGACGAGACUGCUAACAUUACAGCAUGCCAGGAUACAUUCCGUGGUAGAAUAUGUGAAUGCCCAGUAGUUCAGGGAGUAAAAUUUGUUGGUGAUGGUUAUACUCACUGUGAAGCAUCUGGAGCAUUGCGAUGUGAAAUAAACAAUGGAGGCUGUUGGAAGGGAACCCAAAGUGGCAGGGCAUAUUCUGCUUGCAUUGAUGAUUCACACAAAGGGUUGCAAAUGUCCACCAGGAUUCAAAGGGGAUGGAGUUAACAGUUGUGAGGAUAGUGAUGAAUGCAAGGGGAUGUUAGCUUGCCAGUGUGCUGAGUGCAAAUGCAAGAACACUUGGGGUAGUUAUGAUUGCAGUUGCAGCGCCAAUUUGUUGUACAUGCCAUGAACAUGACACGUGUAUAAGCAAAGAUGCCAAGUCAGAGUUCAGCUGGGGCCUUGUUUGGACUAUCAUCUUGGGUUUGGCUGUUGUGGGGGUUUCAGCAUAUGCUGUGUACAAGUAUAGGAUUCGGAGAUACAUGGACUCAGAGAUUCGCGCCAUCAUGGCACAAUAUAUGCCUUUGGAUCAAGGAGAGGGAGCUAAUAAUGUUCCCCACAGGAACGUCUAAUGAUAGACCAUUACUGAAGAAUGAUGAUGGCCUGGGUAGAAUGCAGUCUCCACUGGAUGUUUGCCACCUGUUAGUCAGCCUAAAGUUCUUUGUGCUUAUGCAGUUCCUCUAAGAACACUCCUCUCUCGUCGUCUAAACAAAUUAGAUCUUAUUUAUGUACAUGUAUAACCUAACAAUGCACAUAAACCCAAUAAAAGGAAUUGUCCUUGAAUUGGAUUUGCGCGUGAUGUUUCACUUUGUAUUCCACCGGAGAGCAUUUUGCAUUGCACAAUAUGGUAUGAAUGGGUGGUAAGGUGUCAUAGUAUGCCAUCUCUACCUGUUUUGGAGUGAGGCAAAAUUAA